GAUGAACGCUGGCGGCGUGCCUAAUACAUGCAAGUCGAACGCUUCACUUCGGUGAAGAGUGGCGAACGGGUGAGUAAUACAUAAGUAACCUGGCAUCUACAGGGGGAUAACUGAUGGAAACGUCAGCUAAGACCGCAUAGGUGUAGAGAUCGCAUGAACUCUAUAUGAAAAGUGCUACGGGACUGGUAGAUGAUGGACUUAUGGCGCAUUAGCUUGUUGGUAGGGUAACGGCCUACCAAGGCGACGAUGCGUAGCCGACCUGAGAGGGUGACCGGCCACACUGGGACUGAGACACGGCCCAGUCUCCUACGGGAGGCAGCAGUAGGGAAUUUUCGGCAAUGGGGGAAACCCUGACCGAGCAACGCCGCGUGAAGGAAGAAGUAAUUCGUUAUGUAAACUUCUGUCAUAGAGGAAGAACGGUGGAUAUAGGGAAUGAUAUCCAAGUGACGG
rnacentral:rRNA from 1 species